rnacentral:rRNA from 1 species
CCCGUGACAAAAUUCAACGGCCGCGGUACCCUAACCGUGCGAAGGUAGCAUAAUCACUUGUUCUUUAAAUAAGGACUUGUAUCAACGGCACCACGAGGGUUAAACUGUCUCCUUUUUCAUAUCAGUGAAACUAAUCUCCCCGUGAAGAAGCGGGGAUAAUUUUAUAAGACGAGAAGACCCCAUGGAGCUUUAAACCCAUCUACACUCCGCUUAACUCUACCUUUAAACCUCUCGGAUCCUGUAUGUUCUGGUUUUAGGUUGGGGUGACCGCGGAGCAUAAACUAACCUCCACAAUGAAUAAAUUUCUUCUUUAUCUAAGAUUAACACCUCUAAGAAUUAGUACUCUAACAUAAAAUGAUCCGAUAUUCGAUCAACGAACCAAGUUACCCUGGGGAUAACAGCGCAAUCUACUUCAAGAGCCCCUAUCGACAAGUAGGUUUACGACCUCGAUGUUGGAUCAGGGUAUCCCAGUGGUGCAGCAGCUACUAAAGGUUCGUUUGUUCAACGAUUAAAACCCU